UGUCUUCUCCAGAUGAUGAUGAUGCUCCAC
rnacentral:piRNA from 1 species